GGCCGUGCAGACCCGUAUGGGGCUGUACCGUCGGUUUUGGGUGGUAAAUCGUCCUGCACUCCCMCUAAAUGUCCGGCCAACGUCGGUUUGGUUUGGCUCUUGCGGACGGUCGGGUAGGUACCUCACUGUGCGGUUUCGGCGUGCGCAGGGAGAACUUAAAGCCGGUCGUUUUUUUGCAGUUGAACGUAGCAAACCGAGGAGACGUGUGCCACUUCACACAGGCAGAGCAUGCCCGCCGUUUCUGCGGUGGGCCGGACCGCUUCUAAUCGUUGAGUAGGCGCUGCUGGGACUGUUUGCCAGUGCCAGUUGACGCUUUGUUCUCCDGGUUGGGAGGCCGGUCGCGCCUU
rnacentral:sRNA from 1 species